rnacentral:misc_RNA from 1 species
AACGCACAUUGCGCCCUCUGGUAUUCCGGGGGGCAUGCCUGUUCGAGCGUCAUUACAACCCUCAAGCCUAGCUUGGUAUUAGGCCUCACCCGUUAGGGCGUGCCGUAAAAUCAGUGGCGGUGCCAUUCGGCUUCAAGCGUAGUAAUUCUCUCGCUUCGAGGUCUGAGUAGUAACCUGCCAACAACCCCAAAUUUUAUUAGGUUGACCUCGGAUCAGGUAGGGAUACCCGCUGAACUUAA